AUUUAGGUUGAAACCCUUAGUUGAAAAUUUGGGGGGUUGCAAAAUCUCUAAGAGGUAAAAGCCAGAAGACGCUCUAUUGGUGGUCGACGUCGCGAGAUUUUGAUAGCGAUGCUUUUACUGAUAGGUCGUUGUCCUGUUUUACUGCCACGAGACAGGUAACACUCUGUUUAAGUUAUUUUUCAAUUAUUUCUCCUUUAUCUCCCCAUUCUGUAGUCAUUCAGUUUCUUUCAUUGAUGUGGUAUGCUGGGCUGCCUGCUGUAGAGGUCUUAAGGACCAUGAGUUGCUGAUGUGGAUGAAGGAGUUGAGUGUGUUGUGGUGUUAAGAUUAAUCUAUGUUCGGUUUUGAUUUUUGUCAUUCUUCUACUUUGAUGUCAUGGUCCGUCGUUCAUUCUUGGGGUUACUGAAUAAUUUUCGGACUAUGUUCCACUUAGUGUAUUGCUUGAGGUGAGAAGGGCUGGAUUAUUAAGCUAAGUCCGUUGCUUUUGAUUGUAUUCAGUAGUUUAAUAGGGGGAUGUUUGGCUCGUAGUUAUUAUUUGAUUGUAUAUGUCUGGUGUUAUUACCGGAUUAUGGCACGAUUGUCGAUGCUAGCGGCGUUGCUAGUAGAGCUACCUCUCAAGUUCCUUUGGCUUCUCAUGUGCCAAAAGGACAAUGAUUAAGGUCCAAGAUAUGGUAAAAAAAUCUUAGGAUUCCUCGACGACUACCUUAUUUGAGUGAGCGAGGAGGAGGAUUGAAACAAUCUGUUGUUUUGAUCAUUGUUACUAUUUGUUGUUAUUGUAACUGUUGAGCCAUAGUGUCAUUAGUGGAACUACCUCUUGAGUUCUUUGGUUUCUCAAAGGACGAGGAACAACGAAGAUAAGUCCGCUAAAAAGCAGAAAAUCCUGUGAUUCCUCGGUGAUCAUCUUGGCUACCAAAAGCUAUCCUUUUGGGUUUGCCGAAGAGAGAGUGAGGAUGAGGAUAGUGGACUUUGUCAUAUUUUUCUUUGGUUUUGUGAUUUAUGUCUUUCGUUUUGUUUUGAAUCCCAAAUUUAGAUUCCCGCUCUUCCUUUAGGUUCAUUUUCAGCAUGAAAACACAUUAGAAGGAUAACAUCGUCGUAUUUCAGGAUGCUAGGCAUUUGAGUAUGUUUUUUCAGAAAUUCAUCUUAAUUUUGUUGUCAUUGUACUGUGUAUAGUCUAUACUCAGGCUAAGGAUUCCCAAGGAUCUUUCUCUGUCAACAAUAAUCAAGAAAGUAGGGAUGAAGUUGCAUUCAUUUUACUCUCAACAUGGGAUUAGAGAUGGGACAACGCAUCACAAUUGCUUGUCUCUAUCCUCAAAUACCUGCUGCCAGAACUUAAUACUGCAGGUUAUUUAAGCACUCUUCCAGAUUCAAAUAUUAUUUGUCUCGUGGUCAAGUGCAAUUAAUAUGUUGUCAUUGUCGAGGUUAUUGUUUUGAGUGACUGAAAAAGUUCAAAACUUGAAAGGAAAUUCGUUCCUUCGAAAGGGGUUGCUUUAUAGCUAUUACUACGACUCAUGAGUCAAACAUUGAGCACCUCGCUCGUUCUCCAGGCUACUGUUAUGUGCCUUAUGUUUUUAGCUUUCUUGAUGUUUACUUUCUUGAUAAAAUUGGACAACAUGUAAGCUUUAUGGAUUAACGUCUCGGUGAGUAUUCAAAACCUCAUCCGUAUUCUGGCCAUGCGUCUAGCUUGAUAGAAUCUUGAAUUAGCUUUCUUUUACUGAUAUUAUUGAAUAUGAAGCACAUGUCAUUCUGAUCAUGAAUAUCUUUCAAAUAAACUUACAGUAUGUCAUGCGUUACUCACGUUAUCACUCAUCAUACGCUUUUGGGUAUCAAACAUGUCAUUUAUACCUGAGUGCAAAUAAGUUUACAUCAAGACAUAUUUGCUUAGCAUGCUGUUUGACUAUAUGGAUGCACCCUCCUUCUUUCUUAUGAUCCUUUUCUACAUCUUUACUUUUUCAGUGACAGAGUAUAAGUUAGUUCGCCCGAUAUGCUUUCUUUCCUUCAAAUGGUCGUAUGCUACGUGUCUUACUUACUUCCUUGAUUUGAUUUUCGUGUUUACAUUCUUCAAUUCCCUUUCCUUUUUCUUGUUUAGUUGAUCACGUCUUAACAUUCUUUAUUUUUCUUGUCUUGCAUGAAUCCACUUUGGAGUCCAAAUGGACUCUUUCUCUUUGCAUCCCUCAUUGGAUCAAUGAGGCCCAUUUCAUUGAUUCAAGUCUGAAGGCCUAAGUUCUAAAAAGUAAUCAUGAGGUGUACAAAUACAAAGAUUCAAGAGAAGAAGAAUGGGCUAAAAUCCCUUCUUUGAAGCGGCAAAGAAACUAGAAAGUCUCUUUUUAUUUAUUUAUUUAUAUUCUUUAUUUGUUUUCUUUAUCUAUUUUAUUUAUUUAUUUAUUUAUUUAUUUAUUUAUUUUCUUAUUCAUUCAUUUGGGCCACGAAGUCAAAGUUGUAUUUAAUAUAGGUGGAUCGAGACUCGAGCUAAAGACUUGAAAACAUAGAAUUAGGACAGGUGAAAAUGGAUCGAAAACCCAACUAGAUUAGGACAGGGUUGACGGUUUAGGCUCAAAAAGCCUAAAUCACUACUUCCCCGCUUUUCCCCCUUUUCCUUUCAUUUAUUUGUUUGCUUGUGUCUUUGUGAACCUAGUUAAAUCACUAACUAAGUCGCUAAAAAACUGAUUUCGUGAAAACUUUUUCCUUAAUCAAUUACUUUUUCAACAAAUUAAUUUUCCGAAGGUAAUCAAAAGAAUGUUUUCAAACAAUAUGGAUAACCGCAAGUUAGCGGACGUUUUAGGUGCCUAACACCCUCCUAAAACGUUAAUAUGAGCCACUUACUCGGAAUCUCUAACUUAAAUCGAUUUUCCUGUUUUGAAUCGUUUUAAGUUACUCUUUAAAGUUUUCUUAAUUCCUUUUCAAAAUUAAGUGGCGACUCUUCAAAAGUCAAAAUUUCUUCGCAAACACAUAUACAGGCGUCUUAGGCAUAAAUCGAUGGGACUUGAACCCAACAUAUUAUCAUCUCUUUUGAUAAUAUUGUUCUUGAGAAAUAAAUUCAAAAUAUAAAUGGUUCCAAACCAAUUAUUUUUCCUCAAAUCCAACAAUAAUUAUAUUAUUAGUAGCAAAAGACAGAUAAUAUAAGGAAUUACUAACCUUGAAAUAAUCUUUAGAUUUAUAAUCUCACCUUAUUUGGCAGAAUCUCGUGUUGAUAAUCUAAAUUAGUUAGAGACUCAAAAACUUGUGUAGCCACGUACGAUCAGAUCUCAAUUGGUAAGAGAUGUCAUACUGAUAACGUGUUAUAAAACAAGAUAAAAUAAAGAAGAAGAGUAAAGAGAGUAAUUCUUGUUUCUUCUCUUAAGGGGAUGAAAGAUCAUCUUGAUUGUAAAUACAAUGAACAAAACCCCUCUAUUUAUAGGGAAAAUUUACUCCUAGUCUGAGUAAAAGACGGAUGCUUCAAAUCCUAAUAGAUAUUAAAGUAGAUCUUGAUAGAUAUUCACUAUAAUGUAAAUACAUUUAUAACACUAUCUUAUUUUUUUUCUUCAUAUUUUACGCUUAACAUUUUCUACUAUUUCACAAGAUUCUUUUAAAUACUAAUAGUCAUAGGUAUUCUAAUAAAAUAUGCAAUUCAUAUAUUAUUAUCUUAAAGAAAGUAUAAAGCUAUUAGUAUCAACAAGAAAAAGUGAACAGAUCAACCUGUUGAAUAUACAAGUAAAUCAAAGUAAUAUUCAUAGAGCUAGGCAGCAAAAUAUAUAUAUAUAUANNNNNNNNNNNNNNNNNNNNNNNNNNNNNNNNNNNNNNNNNNNNNNNNNUAUUUAUUUAUUUAUUUAUAUCAUACUUAUUUUAAAUGUAAAAUGCCACCUAAUUGAAAGUUGCAAGAUCAAAUUACCCUUCACUAUUAUAAAAAUAAUUUAUUACUAUAUAUUAGUUUGUAGUUAAAGAGUAAUUAAUUGGAAUUUAAUUAAAUACUAAAUUAUUGCCACAGGUAAUCGAUUUAAAUCAUUGAUCACAACCUAAGACUUUCUCAUUUCUAACUUUAAAGUCUUGUCCUUUGAAAUUUCACCAUUUCUCUAUGCCAAAAUUUUGAGAGGACAUAGUGGACAAAGGUACCUAAAGUUUCCUCCUUUUACAUGUCAAAUUAUCAAAGACAAGUUAAACUUGAUUUGAGAAUUUUUUGAGUAAGGUAAAAGAUAUAGUUGGCUUUCAUUUUUUAUCGAGUAAAGCAUUUAGUGUCUUUUGAAUUAUGACUACCUUAUGUGAUGUGAAACAAGAAAAUCGAAGAAAGAUAGGAAUUAAAGGUAGAAAAUAAAGAAAGAUACAUUUAGAUUCAAACAAUCAAAAGAUAUAAUGGUGAAACUAACCAAAACAGAAAACACUCCUUAAUUGGGAACUAAAAACACCUAAUUUAUUAGAAUCUUCAAGAAAGUAGUAACUUUACUUGCAAAUCUUAGGACAAGUGUUAAAAAUCAACUAAGGAUUUUCAAGCUCUCUAAGAAGGCACAAAUUUUUAAUCUUCCAAAACUAGUGGUUCACCCUAAUAGCUAACUAUUUAUACUAAGGGUUAAAAGAAGUAAGGAAAAAUCAAACUGCGCUUUAUUUAAAUUACAAGUUAAUUUAAAUGGUAGACACACUUAGUAUAUUAAAUAUCUUCAAGUCAUUCAUAUUGGAGUCUUCCAAAGAUUCUAUCUUCAUCCAUAAAGCUUGAAAUGCUUGAAGGUCCUUAGCUUGACUUCUUGUGAAAGGCCUUCUUGGAGUAGCGUCAGUUUUAUGUACAUCACUCUCCUCUUCUUCGAAAGAAUUCGUCCUCGAAUUCGCCAAUUGUUGACACCCAAUUUUGGCUCUCCUUUUCAUAUAAUUAAUUUUUCUAUACUUCUUGGUCCCGAAUACUUUAUCAAAAUAACAUUUUCUAUUCUUCAUAUUAAUUUUUGUAAUGUUGACAUAAACGGAAUAAUUUUUCUUUUGCAUUUUUUUAAUCUUAUAUAUAUAUAUUGUACAAACGAUAUAUGUAUAUCGCAAUAAAUAUUUAAAUAUUAGUUUGUUAACUUUUACUUUAAAUUCUAAAUGAAUUUUAUCGUAUUGUUAUAAUAUUUUCUAAAUAUAGUUAUAUUUGUUUAAAUUUAUAUGUGUAUGCAUAUAACCGGUACAUUAUGAAAAUUAAUUAGGACGAGAGAAGCAUUGUUAAAUUAAUUAAGUGAAAGUGACUUGAGGACAUUAGAUUUUUUCCAAACAUAAUUCACUUAUUCACAAUAUUUGGGCCAUUUGCUCUAUUUUGUCAGCCAAAGUAGUAGCCCAACAAGAAAAUAACUCCUAGUCUAAUUUAAAAUAUCAUAACUUGGCCCAAUUUCAACCCACCAGUCUGCCCAGCUAGCCCAGAUCCGGUCCAAUUCCAUAUCUCUUUUCCCUUUCCCGAUAAACAUACCAAAAACAACAUCAAAGUACAACAAAACAAGCAACAACAACAACAAUAUCAAUAUCAACUGUUAUGGUCCAUUGCAAAGUCCCACAUCGGUACUACAAGGUAUUGUUGUGGGGUAUGUAUAGCCUUGGGAUCUCUCCCACCUUAACAUCUACCUUUUGGGGUACGGUUCUCCUAAGGUUAUAACAGUGGUAUCAGAGUCACCCAUCAGCCUUUGCGCUCACUGUGCCUGGGAUGGUGACAUCAGUAUGGUAGUGUUCGGCCGGGGCUAGAAAUGUUUAGCUCACAACCAUCGAGGCACCUGGGUACCUGACUCAAAAAGGGAAACCUGGGAAAGAGCUACCUACAUAAGUAGAGUGAAAGCUACCCACUUGACGGAUGCUGAUCGUGGUGGUUUGUUAUGAUCCAUUGCAACUCGGCGGAUGCAGAUCAUGGUGGUUUGUUAUGAUCCACUGUAAAGUUCCACUUCGGUACUACAAAGUAUUGUUGUGAGCUAUUUAUAGCCUUGGGCUCUCUCCUUCCUUAAGAUCUAGCUUUUGGGAUGCGGUUCUCCUAAGGUUGUAACAUCAAUGCUCAAACCAACGGAUAAUGGAAUAUCCGGUGGACUUUAGCCUUCUCCUCAUACUUUCCAUCAGUCUUGCAAUUCCUCCAUCAACUUUAUAUCAUAUAGACAGCUUUUCCUGAUCAAAUCAUCCCCUAAAAUACUCCAUAUAUGUUGCUCCUAAAAAGGUGUGGAAUAAGAAGGAUCACCGGAUUUGGAAUUGCUUUUCGCUUAAUCUAACGGGUCGAAACGACUUUUCCAAGAAUUCAAAAUUUGAAUUCUUGGGGCAUGAGAUGAGAACUGUUGCAAUCCCCUCAAAUUUUACUAUAAAAUGAGCCAUUGGGUUCCUAUUUUGAUUAGCAAAAACAAUAAAGAAUUAGAUUUUAUCAAAAUAGCAAAAUCCAUCAACAAAUUCAUAUUACUAUAAUACUUCGUAUUCUUUUUAUCUCUCUUUUCGAAAUCAAAGUCCGAGUUCGAGUUUGUAUCUUCGACGGAAAGCUUCAGUUCGCUGCUCUACACGAGGUAAAUUCUAUCCCAUCUAGUAAAAUUGUAUUUAGUUUUACAAUUCUUUUAUAGUUUGGGUUUGGUCGAUUGAUUGUGGAUAUAAAUAAGAAGUGAAUGGUGUGUGGCCACUAAGAGUUUGUUCAUGUUAGGCAGUGUGUUUGUAAAGUGUUCAUAAUUUGUAAUAUAGCUUGAAUAAAACCUAUAAAGUUUGAGUUUUUCAAAUGAAUUGGGUGCUUUGUUUCUAUGACAAUUAAAAAUUCAAGGAUCUCUAUUAAUGGUGGAUGAGAGAGAGAAGAGCUUGACAGAGAAAGAAAGAAAGAUAACAUGUAACUGCUUAAUUGAAUUACUAAGACUGUAUGUCAAUUUAUACAACAUGUCUAGGAAAGAUCUAGAAGCUCAGCUAACAUCACUACUAACAACUUCUAACUGAUCUAACUUCUUGAGUUAACUACUUGAGUCAGGUAACUGACUCUUAUUUAUUAAUACAUGCUAAUUAAUUUAAUACCCCCCUCAAGUUGAAAGUGGAGAUUUCACAGACAACUUGCUAAGUACAGUAGCAUGUUUGACUCCGGAAAGGGAUUUGGUAAGAAUAUCAGCUAGUUGACUGUUAGUGUCAAUGUGAUGCAGAUUGAUCAGACCUUCUUGUAGUUUAUCUCACAUAAAAUGACAGGCAACCUCGAUAUGUUUAGUACGCUCGUGAAAAACUGGAUUCCUUGCAAUGUGUAAAGCUGAUUGGCUAUCACAAAAGACUGCAAUAGGAGUAGUGUUUGGAAUUGAUAAUUCCGUGAAUAGCCCAUGCAACUAUGUUAACUCACCAACAACUUUCCUCAGGGACCUGUACUCAGCCUCAAAUGAAGAUAAAGAAACUGUUUCUUGCUUCUUCGAUUUCCAACUAAUAGGUGUGUCCCCUAACAAAACUAAAUAUCUACUAACCGACCUUCUAGACGCUGGGCAUGUAGCCCAAUCAGAUUCGCAAUAAGCCUGAACAGUAUAGUUAGGAUGGUUGGACAUAAAUAUGCCAAAAGUUAGAUUCUGUUUGAGAUAUCUCAGUAAAUGUAGAGCUGCCUGCAGGUGAAGCUCUCUUGGAUCCUACAUGUACUGACUUAGGUGCUGCAUGCUAAAGGCAAUAUCAAGUCUGGUGUUGGUGAGAAAAUUGAGUUUUCCAACUAGCUUUCUAUAGUAAGUAGGAUUAAUUAGUGGUGUACCUUCCUUGGCUUUCAAUUUGAUGUGAGGGUCAAGUGGUGAAACUACACUGAUAAAGUCAAAAUAGUCAUAUUCCUUCAACAUAUCCAAAAAAACCUUUCUCUGAGAAAUUAUAGCUCCUUCAUUUGUAUAUUGGAUUUCCAUGCCCAAAAAAUAAUGUAAUUUGCCAAGGUCUUUGAUCUUGAAUCUGUCAUGAAGAAAAUUUUUCAACUCAUUGAUCUCCUGAUGAUCCGUCCCUGUGAGAAUAAUAUCAUCUACAUAAACAACAAUGAACACCAUCAAGGAACCAUGUUUUCUGUAGAAGAUAGAAUAAUCAUGCAAGGAAUACUGAUAACCUCUAGAAGACAGUACUUCAGUUAGCUUUGUAUACCACUGCCUACUGGCUUGUUUUAAACCAUACAAAGAUUUGUUCAGUUUGUAAGCCAACCCCACAUCAUCAACUUCAAGACUAGGAGGUAUUUCCAUAUACACUUCUUCAUGUAAAUCACUAUGAAGAAAGGCAUUGUUGACAUACAGUUGGGACAACAUCCAAUUUUUCUUUACUGCUACAGCAAUUAGGGAUCUUACUGUGGUCAUUUUUACCAUAUGAGAGUAAGUUUUAGUAUAGUCAAUCCAGCUUGUUGUGUGUAUCCCUUGACUACUAACCUAGCUUUGAACCUUUCUAUGCUCCCAUCAGCUUUAUGUUUCACCUUAUAUACCCAUCUACAUCUAAUAGUUUUCUUACUAGGUGGAAGAGGGACUAAAUCCCAUGUGUUAUUAGCAUAAAGAGCCUCAAACUCUUGGUUCAUAGCAGUCUGCUAUGCAGGAUUAAGUGCAUAUUCAUCAUAAGAAGGUGGUUCAUUAUCAUGACAAAUAUUACAAAUAAGGAACUGACUGUCAUGUAUUAAAGAUUCAGGAGAAAUGGAGUGGUGUUGAGAAAAAAGGGCAUUGAGAAAAAAGGUAGAAGAUGUAUCACGUGGUUCAACAUCAGGAGUAGAUUUGAGGGAUGGUAAGGAACAUAUAUAAUAUUGAAUAUGAGCAGGUGUCUUAGGAGUUUUGGUUGACCUUCUGUGUCCAGGUGGAUGAACAGGUACAUUUAAUGGUGCAAAAUUUUGAUUGUUAGAGGGUGAAAAGGAGGUACCAGUAGUUAAUGAAGUAGAAGAGCUGACUGUUGUGUCCAGAGGAUCACAUGGUACCUUAGAGGAAGUGCCAUCCUCAUUAUCAAAAAAAUAUUUAUGAGUAGCAAGAGUGGACUCGGGAACAUAGGACUUGGAAAAAUAUUUAAGUACUAGGAAAAAGUAGUAACAUCUGAGACAAGACUAAUAGGGAAAAGAUUACAUCUCUAGAAAUGUGUAUUCUUCUUGUGGCUAGACUAAGGACCUCGUAUACUUUGGUUCCAAAUGGAUAUCCUACAAAGACAUGAGGUUCAGCUCUUGGUUCAAGCUUAUCUCUAUGGAUUUUAGGUAUGGUAGGAUAACAUAAGCAACCAAAAGAUCUCAAAUGAGAAUAUACUGGUGUCUUGUUGUAAAGUAACUCAUAAGGGCAUUUAUUUUUCAUAUAAGUGGUAGGAAGUAUAUUUAUGAUAUGUGUGGCUGUGAGAACACACUCCCCCAAUAUCUAAAAGGCAAUUUUGAUUGAAAAAGGAGGGCUCUGGCAGUUUCCAACCAAUAUUUAUGUUUUCUUUUCACUACAUUGUUUUGUUAUGGUGUAUAGGGGCAAGUCUUUUGGUGUAUUAUACCUUUGGAAAGAAAGAAUUGCAAGGCCUCAUUAUUAACAAAGUCAAGGCCAUUAUCUGUUCUUACAGUUUUAAUAGAGGUAGAAAACUGAUUUUCAACCAUAUUCACGAAAGCUUUCAGGAUGGAUAAAGCAUUAGCUUUACUGCCCAAAAGGUUUGUCCAUGUGACCUACUAUAGUCAUCCACCAAGGUCAAAAAAUACUUAUGAUUAUCAUGUGUUGGUGUAUGGUAUGGACCCCAGAGGUCAAUAUGUAACAACUAAAAGAUGCUAGUGGAAGCACUAGAACUAUGUGAAAAGGGAAGUCUGACUUGUCUAGCCAUGGAGCAUAAAAAAGGCUGGUUAGCGGAAAACUUGGCAGGUAAUGAGGAUAUGCCUUUCAUUUUUGCAAAAGGAACAUGUCCAAGUCUAUUAUGCCAUAAUAAGUCUACAUUACUGUCAACAGAUAAAUGAGCACUUCCAGCUAACAAGUUAGUUUUAUUGAUAAGAGAUGGUAUAUUUACAUUGGAAAGAAAGCGAGGGGAAUGAAAAUUAUGUGUGACAUCAUUAUUUGACAUGGAUUCUCCUGCCACACUAUUGCUGGAAACGUGAGAACAAGCAGGGCAAGAGUGAAUGAAUGCAUCAGUAGCUUGAUAGUUCUUGAUCAGAUCAGGAAUAGACAAAUAAGUAGUCAGUUUCUUGUGAACAUGUGACUCAGUAGCAGCGGUAUGAUCUUCCGACAUGUGGAACAGAGAUAGUAUAAACCACCUUGCUACUACCAAUCACCUGAGUCCUCCUCACUGAAGGGGCCUGCAGGAAGCACAAUGCAUUAGUGAACAGAAGCAUGCAUUGGGAGUGAUUAGUCAAGGAAUGGACAAAAAUCAAUUAUAUUUAAAGGAUGGUGCAUACAACACCUUAUGCAGGGUAAUUUUAGGUGUAAUAACCACAUCACCAAACUCAACUACUUUUACUUUAUAACCAUUUGGAAGAGAUACUAGUAAAAGAUAGGUCAAGGUUCUAAUGUUGGUUAGGCUGGACUUAUUGAAAGUCAUAUGGUUGGAGGCACCCGAAUCUAUGAUUCAUAAAUCAGACCUUGAGUUGAAACAUUUGCAUGAAUAAUGAGCAAAAUCUAUAGAUGAGUUGCAGGCUAAAAUACCUGUAAAGUUAACAGACCCAGCAUUCAUGUGUGCAACAUUUGGAUUUCCCUUUACUGUGUUGCUGAUCUGAAAUUGACUGAGUAGAUUCAUCAUCUGAUUUUACUGGUCCUUAGAGAUAUUAGGGCUUUUCACAACCAUUAUUGAAUCAGGUUCAUCUCCAUGAGUAUGCAUCAAAUUUGAUGUAAAUCCAUGAACAUUGGCUACUAUCCGCUUACUCUUGUAGAGCCCAAAAUUUUGGUGUUGAUACAUAAAAGCAUUACGAGAGAUAGGGAAACUUUGAUAGCUUUGUCUAGGUCCACUAGGUGCAUUAUUCUGUGGAUAACCAUGGAGCUUGUAGUACCUAUCUUUGGUGUGUCCAGGUCUUUUACAAUAAUCACAAGAUGGCUUGCUAUUGUUAGAACUGCCUACAAAAUUCUGACUUAAGUAAUUUUUCUUGUAACUCCCAGUAUUCGAUGGUCCUGAAUAGCUCCUAGAUCCAGCAGAAUUGACAUGUAGUGAGGUAGAUUCCAUUACUAUGCGAUUAUGCUGUUUGAAUUCUCUUUGUUUCUCCUCUUGGAUCAAAAUAAAGAAAGCUUUGGCCAGGGUAGGUAAGGGAUUCAUCAUCAAUAUACUUUCCCGGACACUAGUGUAUUCCCCAUUCAAGCCCAUAAGAAACUGGAUCAAUCUCCUGUCUUGCUCAGCCUUGUAUGUCCCCUCCUUUGCACCAUAAACACAUUGACAACUACAUUGGACUCGAAAGGAUAAAUUGUUGAAUUCUUCCCAGAGUUUCUUCAUACGCGUAUAGUAGGUAGUAAUAUCCAUAGAUUCUUGUACCAAAUCACUAAUUUCCUUUUGAAUUUGGUAUAACUUAGCACCAUUCGUCUGGUCAUAUCGAUCCUCUAGUUCCUUCCACAAUUUGGUGGAAUUUGCGACAUACCCAACACUUUCAGCUAUCUCUUUAGAUAAGGAGUUCAAAAUCCAAGACGUCACCAUAUCAUCUCAUCUCUCCCAUUGACGUAAUUUGGCUGCAUCAUCCGUAGGUCGCUUGCAAUCAUCAGUAAUGAAACCCAGUUUAUUUUUCACUGAUAGAGCUCAAAGAACACUUCGUCUCCAUGAACGAAAACCCAAUCCAUCAAAAGGUGUAGGAACCAACACCAUACCAGGGCUAUCAGAAGGAUGCAUGUACAAAGCAGAAAUCGUAUCAUCACUAAAUUGAUGCACAGUAGUCGGUGCUACGGGAAUUUGUUGGCAUUCGGUUCGUUUUCCAUUGAGAGAAACUACGAAGAGGAAAACCCAGAAAGAUUCUAUAUCUCGUUCAGGCAAUUCAUCAAACAGUUUGUAUAUAGAAGAUAGAGUGACCCUAAGUAGAAAAUUGGAAGGAUUUGUAAGAUCUGUGGGCCGAGAAUAUUGAAGCAGUUUAAGAUGUGAGAAAAUCUCGUGGCUUUGAUACCAUAUUACAAUUGAGAAUUCAAGGAUCUCCAUUAAUGUUGGAUGAGAGAGAGAAGAGCUUGACAGAGAAAGAAAGGAAGAGAAAAUGUAACUGCUUAAUUGAAUUACUCAGACUGUAUGUCAAUUUAUACAAAAUGUCUAGGAAAGAUCUAGAAGCUCAGCUAACAUCACUACUAACAACUUCUAACUGAUCUAAACUUCUUGAGUUAACUGCUUGAGUCAGAUAACCGACUCUUAUUUAUUCUCUCGCAUUGUUUGAUUUUGCCUUUUGUUUGGUAGUAUACUUUUAGACUUUUCGCAAUCUUAAACCAGCCCGAAACAAACUCUGUAAAGUUGUAAGUUCUCCUGAUACGCGUACAGUGAGCUGUUUUGGGUUUAUUUUGAUGUUGGUUUGGCUACCUUAAUGUUGCAAUAAUGAAUUAGAGAUGUUUUUGUUUGGUUUGUGUGUUCACAAGGUCCUGACAGCCUUAACAUUGUCCGAAAACGUUUUGAAUUGCUUAAACUUUAUAUAUGCUUUGGCGGGGUUCGUCAUGGAAUCCUUGUAACUGUUGCUUGAACGCUGAAUAUGAUAUCAUGUUAGUACUGUUUUUGAAUAGUCAUUCACAGAUUUUUAAUAAGGAGGGAGUUUAUUUCAGCUUCCAGAUUAGUUAACUUAGCAUUUGACCUUAGUUACCUAUGAUGAUUUUCCAGUUAAUUUGCUAAGCAUUAGGCAUCUUAUUCUUUAAUUUGAUCCUGUUUCUCGUGCAUUGAUAUGUUUGAUUGGAAACUUACAAUUGUAAUUAUGUAAACUUAGAAUUGUAAUUAUAACAUAUGAUAUCUAUACUUGAGAAUCAAAUUUCCUUUUCUAAUUCUUAUUUUGUUCUUUCUCUUCGCAUAUGCACUCCAGAGCAAACAACUUGGAGUCUCAAGGCUAUAUUCUCGUACCCGUAUGGAGUCUCUAAAUGAGACUUGCCGUUACCCCUCAUUCUAGCAAGGAUUCAUAUUCCAUAUUCUUAAGUCGAACCGGCUAGCAGUCUAGUGCAAAAAAUCAAGCUUUAUUAUUUUUUAUAGACACUUAUUAUUAUUUUGUGUACAUUUCACAUAUUACUAUUUAAAGUUUGUGUUUAUAUGUUUCUUAUUGAAUUGUUGUGAAGCUUUAAUUAAUCUCAACGAAUUUGAUUGUUUCUCUUUUA
rnacentral:lncRNA from 1 species